UACGUAGGGGGCAAGCGUUGUCCGGAUUUAUUGGGCGUAAAGAGCGUGUAGGCGGCCUGAAAGGUCAGCUGUGAAAACUCGAGGCUCAACCUCGAGACGUCGGUUGAAACCAUCUGGCUAGAGUCCGGAAGAGGAGUGUGGAAUUCCCGGUGUAGCGGUGAAAUGCGCAGAUAUCGGGAGGAACACCAGUGGCGAAGGCGGCUCACUGGCCCGGUACUGACGCUGAGGUGCGAAAGCGUGGGGAGCAAACAGG
rnacentral:rRNA from 1 species